UACGUAGGGGGCAAGCGUUGUCCGGAUUCAUUGGGCGUAAAGAGCGUGUAGGCGGCCAGGUAGGUCGGUUGUGAAAACUGGGGGCUCAACCUUCAGAGGUCGACCGAAACCAUCUGGCUAGAGUCCGGGAGAGGAGAGUGGAAUUCCUGGUGUAGCGGUGAAAUGCGCAGAUAUCAGGAAGAACACCCGUGGCGAAAGCGGCUCUCUGGAACGGUACUGACGCUGAGACGCGAAAGCGUGGGGAGCGAACGGG
rnacentral:rRNA from 1 species